UACGUAGGGUGCGAGCGUUAAUCGGAAUUACUGGGCGUAAAGCGUGCGUAGGCGGUUCGUUAAGUUCGUUGUGAAAGCCCCGGGCUCAACCUGGGAAUGGCAAUGGAAACUGGCGGGCUGGAGUGUGGCAGAGGGGGGUGGAAUUCCGCGUGUAGCAGUGAAAUGCGUAGAGAUGCGGAAGAACACCAGUGGCGAAGGCGGCUCACUGGUCCGGUACUGACGCUGAGGUGCGAAAGCGUGGGGAGCAAACAGG
rnacentral:rRNA from 1 species